UGCAACUGAAGAGUUUGAUCAUGGCUCAGAUUGAACGCUGGCGGCAGGCCUAACACAUGCAAGUCGAGCGGCAGCACGGGAAGCUUGCUUCCUGGUGGCGAGCGGCGGACGGGUGAGUAAUGCAUAGGAAUCUGCCCGGUAGUGGGGGAUAACCUGGGGAAACCCAGGCUAAUACCGCAUACGUCCUACGGGAGAAAGCGGGGGCUCUUCGGACCUCGCGCUAUCGGAUGAGCCUAUGUCGGAUUAGCUGGUUGGUGAGGUAACGGCUCACCAAGGCGACGAUCCGUAGCUGGUCUGAGAGGAUGAUCAGCCACACUGGGACUGAGACACG
rnacentral:rRNA from 1 species